AAAUCCAUCAUUGCAUGGCUGAAUUUUCCUUCUUCAUUCUGUUUAACUGCCAAUUGCUGAGUCAGACUCUCCAGUGUUGUUUUUUCCUUAAAAGAAGAAAUUUAUAAAGAGAAGUCAUUACAAAGCUAGGAUUAGUCAGGUAUAUUUUUCUAAUACAAUACAAUAUUAUAGUGAUACAUUAACUUAUGAAGGGGCUAGGAUGUUGAUUUAGUCACCAUUGCGUGAUCAGCAAAUGACACCAUGGUCACUAAAGGAAACAACCUUUGGGACUUAGAAGGAACUCUGAUUUUUAUAAACCCUUAUAAAGUCUUGGCACUUGGGCCUGGUAUGUCCUGAGGACAUAUGUUGGGAUCCUGGGAGAUUAACUUCCCAAGUCAUAAAAUGCAUCAGCAACAACCUGUUUUGCAUUUGGAAAAGCCGCUUUAUUUUUAGCCAGACAGUAGAAGUAUAGGAGUGGCAUGAGGCCCAGAGGAAAGACUUCCAAUAGUCAGGUGACCAGAUGACAGAAACAACUCACAGUAGUGCCCUCUGGUCGCUCUCUCCCCAAAUACCAUCUGCAUUCCUCAUGCAAGGGUAAUGAAGAUGUUUACAUAUUCAUUGCUAAUUGCUUGUCAAGUCUCUGUAUAUCCAACGUGAGUGCCUGCUACUUGGACCACAAUUUGAUUUGGAUUGCUAAGCCAAAAUAUUGAGUUGGCGAAUUAUUUGAGAUACAAAUAUACCAAAAUUAGAUCUGCAAAGACACUGAGUCAUUUAAAAGCAUGCAGUGCAUGAUUUGCAUCUGUGCAGAACAAGGCAUUACAAACCAAAUUGUGUUCAAGCCAAAGAUAAUGCUUGAUCUUUAAAUGCUUCCAAAUUUACAAAGUGGGUGGUUCUAGAGGGAAAAAAGUAUGCAUUGAAAGAUGGACAACUUCCCAUUGAAUUCACCACCACUGCUCUGAGGAUGACAUGAUACUGGAUUUUAUAAAGAAACCUGAGCAGACACUCUAAGAACUCACCUCCUUUUCUGAGGAACACAGUCACGAACUGUGCUAGUGAACCAAACCAUGGGAGUGCUGUUUAUAUGAUACAGUGUUCCCAGAAAACAAUCCACCAUUUAAGAUCAUUGUCGCACAGGUAAAAGGGACUAAUUAGUCUUCCCACCAGGAACUAAUAGGGUAUUGAAAGUCUUACUACAGUACAUAUUUUAUUGAAAAUCUCUGACAAUACCACAAUUGUAUAAACUGCAUUAAAAUUUUUCUUAGUGGCCUUGGGACUCCUGUGCUCCAUUCAUCCAAGUCUGCACAUGAUUUACUAUAGAAACGCUGUUAACUUGCCAACCCAUAUAAAAUGUGGCAGCAAAAUGAAACAGACAAUCAUUUAUAGUAGCUUCAAUUCUGUGGAAUCUGAUAGCGUUAAAACUGCACUAAGUUAUACACGUUAAGAUGUAGAGCCUGACUCUGUUGUGUGUGGAAGGUUACACAGCUGCAGUGAGUGCUCUCUACGGCUUUGCCUGAAACACACUGUGGAGUGAGCUGAGUUCGAGAACACCAAGGACCCUGGCUGGACAGACCUUCCUCACGGUGAAUGGAGCUGUGCACACACAGGAUGGGUCCACUGGGAGAAAAGAAAGCAAGGGAGAUUACACGAACAUGAUCCGACAGCCUCUGGACCAAUGAAGACUUUAUUCUUUUCUCUCCUGGCCAUGUCCUCGGCUUGGACCAGUUUCUUAAGAUUUAGUGGUACACAAGGCACUAACAUUACCUUUUUUUCUAGGGAAUUUUCCAGUAGGAAGCUAAGACUUUCAGGAAGAAGACGACAAAGCAAAAGCAACUGGAGUGAAAAGAAGAUGAAGUGGUAGGUGACUUCCAAGGUUCGCAGUCGACCUACAAGGACCUGAGCCAUCCUCCCAAUAGACAAGAAUUAGCAAGUGAUGACCGGCAAACCCAGUGUCAGUUUAUCCAGACCUGGAGCGCAGAGCAGGAAGCUCAGUGAUAAGUGCUGAGAUGUAACUCCUGUUGGGCUCACCCUUCUACUAACAGCACUGCUGUCAGGACGGAGAAAUCACCCACACUCAAAUGGAGUAAGAAGAAAGCAACAAAUUUAUUAUGGA